CGGGAUCUGAGGGCCGUUGUAAGAGGACAUUAGCACCGUGGAAUGACAAACGUCCUGCAGCUGAAACUGCGGAUGCUGAUGCGGAGACUGAGAACGCACAUCCGGGGCAGUUCACUUAGGAUGCAUACCACGUUUGGCGUGUAGCCGCAGACAACAGGUAAGGUUUGAGGUGGAAGCUACCUUGCAUUUUGCCGUAUGUUGGCAGUACUGUGUACAGAAGUUCCCCACCGUGAAGGUUAUUUGGUUCACAUAUGCCUACUUGACAUAAGCUUCAAACCUGUUGGCGGGCUUAUCCUACGAGCCUCGUUGCGGAGGGGCUGACUACAAAAAUGCCAUGGCGCGCUUUCAGAAGUUAUUCUGCUGAUGACGCACGAUCUAAGUUUUUGUAAGCAAGACUAUAUUUCAUAGACAUGGAUUAUGGCUAGUUAACCCUUUGCGUUCAUAAGGGCCAC
rnacentral:lncRNA from 1 species